GCGCCUGUAGCUCAAUUGGAUAGAGCGCUUCCCUCCGAAGGAAGAGGUUGCUGGUUCAAGUCCUGCCAGGCGCA
rnacentral:tRNA from 1 species